rnacentral:rRNA from 1 species
GAUGAACGCUGGCGGCGUGCCUAAUACAUGCAAGUCGAGCGAACAGACGAGGAGCUUGCUCCUCUGACGUUAGCGGCGGACGGGUGAGUAACACGUGGAUAACCUACCUAUAAGACUGGGAUAACUUCGGGAAACCGGAGCUAAUACCGGAUAAUAUAUUGAACCGCAUGGUUCAAUAGUGAAAGACGGUUUUGCUGUCACUUAUAGAUGGAUCCGCGCCGCAUUAGCUAGUUGGUAAGGUAACGGCUUACCAAGGCAACGAUGCGUAGCCGACCUGAGAGGGGGACAGCCACCACGGGACAGGAGCCCGGGCCCAGACACCGGGGGGAGGCAGCAGGAGGGAAUCGUCCGAAGGGGGAAAAAGCCGGCGGGGACAAGCCGGGGGGAGUAAGAAGGGUCUCAGGAUCUAAAACCUGGUUUAUGGGGAAAAAAAAAUUGGUAAAGUACAAAGGCCGGUUUUGAGGGUCCAUAAUAAGAAGCCCACGGCAAACUAGGUC